UUAUGAAUAAGGACCGGCUAAUUCCGUGCCAGCAGCCGCGGUAAUACGGAAGGUCCGGGCGUUAUCCGGAUUUAUUGGGUUUAAAGGGAGCGUAGGCCGGAGAUUAAGCGUGUUGUGAAAUGUAGACGCUCAACGUCUGCACUGCAGCGCGAACUGGUUUCCUUGAGUACGCACAAAGUGGGCGGAAUUCGUGGUGUAGCGGUGAAAUGCUUAGAUAUCACGAAGAACUCCGAUUGCGAAGGCAGCUCACUGGAGCGCAACUGACGCUGAAGCUCGAAAGUGCGGGUAUCGAACAGGAUUAGAUACCCUGGUAGUCCGCACGGUAAACGAUGGAUGCCCGCUGUUGGUCUGAAUAGGUCAGCGGCCAAGCGAAAGCAUUAAGCAUCCCACCUGGGGAGUACGCCGGCAACGGUGCAACUCAAAGG
rnacentral:rRNA from 1 species